GGAAACCAUACUUAAAGCCAAGCAAUGUUUAUUCAAGCCCUUGGCAGAGCCCGUGGCCACGUGGUAGGCGAGUAAUAUCGUUCUGCAACUCAAGUUUAGCAGAGUAUGAGAACUGCUCAACAGCUUUUGCAAGGGCUGUCAGAGACUUCGGGAAUGGCUUGAUACUGGGCUAAAGCUCCACCUAGGCACUCCACACGCCUUAGGAAUUCCAACAAUUUGCAGCUCUCUGAUCCCGGGAAUGCUGAGAAGCCUGCACAGCAGAGGGACAACAGCGUGGGGAGAUCACAGACAACGUCACGUUGCUGAAAAACAACAUGCUUCUAGAAAAAAAACAGAAAGUCUCAGCAUUCUCUGCUUCAGAUUCCUCCAUUCCUCAGGCACCACCCUGAUUCAUAAUCUCAGGAAAGGAGAUAAUAAUGAUCUUGCAGACCUGCAUGAUGACUGACUUUGCUGUGGAUUUUCCAGCCCAAUUGAUUGCCCACCUUCUGGCAGUUCAGUUCUCUGCUCACCCUUCCCAGACUGGCCACAGAGUUUCAGCACCUCCCUUAUGCCCACUCACCCAUGUUUUUAACUUUUGGUGAGCCCUUCACAAGAAGCUACCAAAGUCUCCAGCAGCUACUUGUGGCAUUACGCCUACUCACUGAACAGCAGCAAACACCACUCUAUUGAAAGACAUUGGAAUGAACUGUGACACUUUUUGCUGUUUUGGCAAACGGGAUGGUUUCAAACCAAACUAGAAAUACCUG
ensembl:lncRNA